rnacentral:rRNA from 1 species
AGAGUUUGAUCCUGGCUCAGAUUGAACGCUGGCGGCAUGCCUUACACAUGCAAGUCGAACGGCAGCGCGGACUUCGGUCUGGCGGCGAGUGGCGAACGGGUGAGUAAUACAUCGGAACGUGCCCUGUUGUGGGGGAUAACUAGUCGAAAGAUUAGCUAAUACCGCAUACGACCUGAGGGUGAAAGUGGGGGACCGCAAGG